CAAUAGCGUAUACUAAAGUUGUUGCAGUUAAAAGCUCGUAGUUGGAUUUCUGGUUGUUCAGUUCGGUCUGCUUCGCAAGAAGUGUGUACUAGAAUUAGAUGGCCAUCCUCGGAGUUUUGUGUAUCUGGCAUUCAGUUGUCGGGUAUAUGAUCUCCGUCAUUUACUGUGAGUAAACUAGAGUGUUCAAAGCAGGCUUAGGCCGUUGAAUACAUUAGCAUGGAAUAAUAAGAUAGGACCUUGGUCUAUUUUGUUGGUUUAUUUUCCAAGGUAAUGAUUAAUAGGGAUAGUUGGGGGUAGUUCGUAUUCUAAUUAGUUCAGAGGUGGAAAUUACUUGGUAGUUUAUUGGAAGGACGAACUAACUGCGAAAGACAUUUACCUAA
rnacentral:rRNA from 1 species